CGGGGUGUAGCGCAGUUUGGUAGCGUGCUUGGUUCGGGACCAAGAGGCCGCGGGUUCGAGUCCCGCCACUCCGA
rnacentral:tRNA from 1 species